UUUAGAGUUUGUUUCACACUGGGCAA
rnacentral:piRNA from 1 species